GUAAGCCGAAGAGCAGCUACCGGUUUCUUGCAACUUGCAAGUUAAACUGAGGAAACUCCAUCCAUCAUACAGAACCAUGGUGUCGCGAGGCACAUGCUGAGAAGCAUGACUCUGGAGCAGAAACGAGACGUCUUUUGAUAGAUGAACAUGAUGCCUAAGCUGAUGAUAUCAAAAGGAACGGUGAAACGGCCAUUUCGUGGGAUGUAAGGGCAAAUACUGUCGAUGAAUCCUGUAUGAGGCAGAGGUAGCUCGCAUAGAUGAAUGCUGCUAAAACAGGAGGUGGGUUACUCUCGGCAUAC
rfam:Methanobacterium sp. A39 contig_36, whole genome shotgun sequence.